ACUCCUACGGGAGGCAGCAGUGGGGAAUAUUGCACAAUGGGGGAAACCCUGAUGCAGCCAUGCCGCGUGUGUGAAGAAGGCCUUCGGGUUGUAAAGCACUUUCAGUAGGGAGGAAAGGGUGUAACUUAAUACGUUAUAUUUGUGACGU
rnacentral:rRNA from 1 species